rnacentral:lncRNA from 10 species
UGGGUCAGACCCAGAAGGUGGUGCCCCAUGUGAGGAACACUGCAACAAAUCACCACAGAACUCUCAAAAAUGAAGGCCCGCCAUCACUGGGCCAAAAUAACAAAGAGGAAAUGGAGGUUGUGCCUGAGCCUGCUCCUCCAAUAGACUGAAUAAAAGACAAGGGAUACACUACAGCUAUGGGACCCUGUCUUUGGCAAGUGGCAUUAGAAGGGGAGCUCUUACCCUGUCCGGUAAUGCAAGAUCAACAAGGCAAUCAGGUACAUAAAGAGAUAAGGAAAA